UACGUAGGGGGCAAGCGUUGUCCGGAAUCAUUGGGCGUAAAGAGCGUGUAGGCGGCCAGAUAAGUCCGCUGUGAAAUCUCGAGGCUCAACUUCGAGCUGUCGGUGGAAACUGUCUGGCUAGAGUCCGGAAGAGGAGAAUGGAAUUCCUGGUGUAGCGGUGAAAUGCGCAGAUAUCGGGAAGAACACCCGUGGCGAAGGCGGCUCUCUGGGACGGUACUGGACGCUGAGACGCGAAAGCGUGGGGAGCGAACAGG
rnacentral:rRNA from 1 species